AUUGAACGCUGGCGGCAUGCCUUACACAUGCAAGUCGAACGGCAGCGGGCCUUCGGGUGCCGGCGAGUGGCGAACGGGUGAGUAAUGCAUCGGAACGUGCCAUUGAGUGGGGGAUAACGUAGCGAAAGUUGCGCUAAUACCGCAUAUUCUGUGAGCAGGAAAGCAGGGGACCGCAAGGCCUUGCGCUCUUUGAGCGGCCGAUGUCAGAUUAGCUAGUUGGUGAGGUAAAGGCUUACCAAGGCGACGAUCUGUAGCGGGUCUGAGAGGAUGAUCCGCCACACUGGAACUGAGACACGGUCCAGACUCCUACGGGAGGCAGCAGUGGGGAAUUUUGGACAAUGGGGGGCAACCCUGAUCCAGCCAUGCCGCGUGAGUGAAGAAGGUCUUCGGGUUGUAAAAGCUCUUUUCGGCCGGGAAGAAAUCGCAUGGGUGAAUACCCUGUGUGGAUGACGGUACCGGAACAAGAAGCACCGGCUAACUACGUGCCAGCAGCCG
rnacentral:rRNA from 1 species